GUCUUUGUAUUAAAAGCCAACUCACGUACUCCAAUUGGGCAAGAAAAGGUUUAUCAAUUUAAUUAUCGUUAAGGCCGUUGAGUCCAUUCUUCUAACAAGUAACAGAUUGUUAGACAUGUUUUCCUUUCCCGCGUGGGCAGUUAAUUACCGAGUUAAAAUUGGCACCAACGUCAGUUUCUUAUUAGUUGCAGGAAACACACCGAGAUUUUCUCUUGUCCUUCCACUUCUUGCAUGUAAACCCUAGUUAUUCUUAAUUUCCCUGCCCUAACUACUCCUGUCUUUCUUGUUUACACAUUGUCUUGUCUUGUCCCGCAUUUUGUUGGAGGCUGAUUUUUAUAUUCUUUCUGUGGAUUCAACUCUGCGUUAAAUUUUCUUCUCAUCAACCUUUGUUCAUCUCCUGCUUUUGGGUUUGGAGAAGUUUUUGAAUUGAAGGUUUUGGGUUGUCAAUCCACAUUUUGAUAAAUUAAAACCGAAGAUUGAAUUUCUAUAUCAAGGUAGCAUAUAUAGAAGGCCUUAAACGAAUUGGUGGGAUCAUUGAUCAGAUAAAUUAACUGGCACCAUGGAUAGUGAAAAUGGAUUUGUAACAAAGAAGCACGUAGCAAAUUCAGAGGGGACAAAUGAUG
rnacentral:misc_RNA from 1 species